rnacentral:rRNA from 1 species
GACGAGGGAUCCAAGCGUUGUUCGGAAUUAUUGGGCGUAAAGAGGGUGUAGGUGGCUUUGUAAGUCAGAUGUGAAAUCCCUGGGCUUAACCCAGGACGUGCAUUUGAUACUGCAGAGCUUGAGUGUGGGAGAGGCUAGUGGAAUUCCUGGUGUAGUGGUGAAAUACGUAGAUAUCAGGAGGAACAUCGGAGGCGAAGGCGGCUAGCUGGACCAACACUGACACUGAGAUCCGAAAGCGUGGGGAUCAAACAGGAUUAGAUACCCUGGUAGUCCACGCCGUAAACGAUGGAUACUUGUUGUUGGAGGUAUUGACCCCUUCAGUGACGAAGCUAACGCGUUAAGUAUCCCGCCUGGGGAGUACGGUCGCAAGAUUA